AGAGCGAUUAGGUCUCUCACACAGUUGCAUUGUGCCACUCGCUCCCUCGCCUCUGCUUUCUCCAGAAAACGAGCGAUCUUGAAAAGGGGGUUUCCUCAACCACUUUCUCCCAGUCUCACUCUCUCGCUCUCUCUCUCUGAGUUUUCUCUCGUAGCCACCAGUGUCAUUUUCACAUCCAUCCUCAUUUCCGUCUCACUUCCAGCCAAACAAACCUCCAUAUUCAUCCACCAACUCAAGACAACAAUCCUCUUCUGAUUCGGUCGUGUGCUCAAGUUGACGGAGAAAGGAUAGAAUUUGCUUCUGAUUGUGAGCUGGUGUUUUAUAUACUAAUGAGCAAAGUUGGACUGGGUAAAUAGUAGGGCCACCUAAGUACGCAGCUACUUAUUCACCGGCACACUUUCUCCCUGCUCGACAUCAGUUUGAAAAUUCCAAAUUAGACAUCAGUUUUAUUACUGAACAGCUCAGGAAGCGUUAUUUAUUUAUACGUUGCUGUUUUCCCAAACUAAGUUUUCCAUGUCCAACUGUUGGUAACGAAUUAGCCCAUAAAAUCAGAUAAGUAAAUAAAACUCUUGCUCGGGAGGAUACAUAAAGUGUUACAAGUUAACAACCGUGACGAGUUCUGAAAUACAUAUAUUUUCAAACUGGCUGCUGGAGGAGGGCGCGGACAGUGGACUUUCUGUCAGUUGUGCUUUUAAAUACAGUUUAUCAUAAAGAAUGGUUGAAGUAAGGACGACUUGAUGAAGAAAGCACAGCGCAAUUAGAAACAUAAUACUGCUAAUAACGUAUAUCAAAUAUUCCGUACCACCCCCAGGCCUGUAAGAAGGAUGUAUUUCAGGUCAUAAUAAUUUAUUUUAUUCGGACGGCGAAUACGCCUCGUGAACUCUCUCUAAAAGAUUAGACCUUAUCCAUUCUGUUUUCAAACCAGCUUAGGAAACAGCCAGUGAGCUAUUCUCGUAAUUUUUAAAAAUAUCUGCUGUGCCAUCUCGAUCCUUUUGUCAUAACCAUCAAGCACUCCAUUAUUAAAUUAUGCGAGUGGCAUUCUCAACAACAACUUGAUUCCGUCGACGGAUUCAUGCGUCAGUAAAAGACCAAAGAGAGAGAGGAACUGCUUUUGUGCACGUCGAACCUUCACAAUGUUGUUCGCUAAUUGCACCAGCCCACUUGACUGUGCUCCAGAGCAGUUGUAUCCCGAAAGUUCUAAUGACACUGUUCCGGAUCCGUACAAAGUCUUCCUUGAAGAUCCCUAUUUUUGCUUGAAGGGUUGGAUUGGUCGGAACGACACGCCAUGUGAGGAUCCUUUGUACUUUUCAUACAACUAUCGCAUAGUGGGGACCCUCUUCCAGGGCAUUGUGUUUCUCGUGGGUGUCUUCGGUAACCUCAUGGUCGUCGUCGUCGUGGCCAGAACGAAGAGCAUGCAUUCUCCAACAAAUUGCUAUCUCGUGUCCCUUGCCCUUGCUGACAGCAUUGUGUUACUAGCGUCCGUACCUCAGGAGAUUGUCAGCUACUACGUAGUAGGAAACCUUUGGAUUUGGGGUGAACUGGGAUGUCGUCUUCUCAUCUUCUUACAACAUUUGGGGAUCAAUGUUUCAUCACUGAGUUUGGCUGCAUUUACUGUAGAAAGAUGGGUCGCAAUAUGUAAGCCAUUUUUCGCUCAAACAGUGUGCACUGUGAAUCGAGCAAAGAAAAUUAUUGCGGGAGUUUGGAUUUUCGCCCUGAUCUACUGCUUUCCCUGGUUGUUUCUCACACAAACUUAUCCCCUGUUUUACAAAGGAUUUGCUAACAUUGAGAGUUGCGAGUACAAAAUAGAGCGCAACCAGUACCUUGGCUAUUAUUUCACGGAUUUAGUUGUUUUCUAUGUGAUACCACUUCUACUGUCGGUCAUCUUGUACGGACUGAUUGCAAGAAUUUUGUAUCAAAGUCAAAAUGCCAAAUCAUCCCAUCAUGGAACAAACGGACCAUUGUCGGUCGACUCCUCUAAAACCAAUGCGUCACGAGUGCAGGUGGUGAAAAUGCUGUGCAUGGUGGUGAUCAUCUUUGCAAUUCUCUGGCUACCCUACCGUGGACUGCUCGUGUAUAACUCUUUCGCACAGGAGAAAUUUAUGGACCUUUGGUUUUUGAUAUUUGCAAAAACCUGUGUCUUCAUUAACAGUGCUAUAAAUCCGAUUCUGUUCAACGCGAUGAGUCUGAGAUUUCGAACGGCUUUUGGACGCGUGCUGUCGUGUGGUAAGACCCGGGACUUCUACGGUCGUUGGCCAUAUUGCCACACUCAUACAACAUUUGCCACAGCCAGCACUGCGAUGCCCUCGACGGCCACUUUAAACUGUCAGUUGGUGUCGACUCGGACCCCUCCGAGACAUUACUCCUCUCAUAACAGCCACCACACGUACAACCAAACACACCCCCCACCACACUCCAUGACUUAUCUCGAGGUUGUUGUCGAUUCUUCAGACACAGUUUAUACGUGUCCAGAGGAAGUCACGCAACUCUAAUCCACGACAACUAGCUGUAACUUCCACUCUCUCAGUCUCCACCAUUAUUUCUACACUACUUAAUCACGAAUCCUACAACAACAACAACCUGACAUCAUCAUGUUAGUUCACGCUCGUUGUUAAUUCUGUUGUUUGAUAUGACGUGUGAGUUACGGCUAGUAUUUAUUUUUUGGAGACUCUUCUGUUGGAGACUCGGAGAUCGAAGGCAGCGACCACGGAACGACUUCGUGUGAACUUGACAGUCAUGUCGGUAAAAAAGUUAUAAAAAUAGGAAUUGUUGCAUAAUUGUUGUGUAAGCAAAAAUAUUAUAUACUUUCAUGAUGUGCUACAUAAUAAACUAAAUUCUACACAAAUGUUAUACUUGAGCAUUCGAUGUGAUGUAAGUAGAACGACCCGAGAUUAUUUUGAUUAAAAUGAAUUUAUAUUAUGUGA